rnacentral:misc_RNA from 1 species
UACGUAGGGGGCAAGCGUUGUCCGGAAUUAUUGGGCGUAAAGGGCACGCAGGCGGUCUGUUAAGUCUGAUGUGAAAGCCCACGGCUCAACCGUGGAGGGUCAUUGGAAACUGGCAGACUUGAGUGCAGAAGAGGAGAGCGGAAUUCCACGUGUAGCGGUGAAAUGCGUAGAUAUGUGGAGGAACACCAGUGGCGAAGGCGGCUCUCUGGUCUGUUACUGACGCUGAGGUGCGAAAGCGUGGGGAGCAAACAGG